rnacentral:lncRNA from 1 species
AGGGUUGGCCACCUUGAGAAGCUGCGAAGAUGGCGGAGUAAGGCGUGCCGCUGCAAACUGGCCUCUGGGCCGGGGGCGAGCAGCCCCCGGGAGGCCGAGUGCAUCUGUUGGACCGUGCGAGGAGAAGAAAAAAAAUAUCGGCCAGAGGAGAGGAACUAACCGAACAUUCUUCCUCCCUACCUUAUAGAGGGGAGUGGUCAUCUACACUAAAGCAAAGUGUUAGGCGCGUCCGUGCGAAGAGACCACCAAACAGGCUUUGUGUUCCUUAUCACAGGAAGAAAAUUUUCCUUGACCUUUAGGUGCUUUUAUAUUCAUCUCAAAAACAAAAUUCUGAACUCAGGACUUGGCAAGCUGGAGUUCAGUGGCUUUUCUCAGGUGUGAUCAUGGCACACUGCAGCCUCGCACUCCUGGCCUCAAGUGAUUCUCCCACCUUAGCCUCCUGAGCAGCUGGGACUACAGGCAUGUGCCACCACUGCUGGCUGAGGUCUAUUUUGAUGUGUCUCUAUGUUGUCUCCUAGAGUGGGUAGUCCUGCUUCUUUUACCCAGUUACUUUCCCGUUUUUGAAAUGUGGCUAUCACUUCUCUACACAUUACCUCCAUGAUUUGGAAUGGAAAAGGCCACUUUUCUUUUUGUUCUGCCUCUCAAAUUCAACACAGAGGAGCUCCUAGGAUUCCAGUUAUCCUGCUAACAUCUCCAGGAAGAAAGAAGCAACUCACAUGGGUCUUUUGCUGUUUGCUUAAUUAUAAAGACAUCAUUUUGCAA